rnacentral:rRNA from 1 species
UCGAACGCGAAAUUUUUUCUUCGGAAGAAAGAGUAGAGUGGCGCACGGGUGAGUAACGCGUAAGUAAUCUACCCUGGCAUCCGGAAUAACCCACCGAAAGGUGAGCUAAUACCGGAUACGUUGAGUAAUCAAGAAAGGUGGCCUCUGAUUCAAGCUACUGUGCUGGGAGGAGCUUGCGUACCAUUAGCUAGUUGGUAGGGUAAUGGCCUACCAAGGCGACGAUGGUUAGCGGGUCUGAGAGGAUGAUCCGCCACACUGGAACUGGAACACGGACCAGACUCCUACGGGAGGCAGCAGUGAGGAAUAUUGCGCAAUGGGGGCAACCCUGACGCAGCGACGCCGCGUGGAUGAUGAAGGCCUUCGGGUCGUAAAAUCCUGUCAGAUGGAAAGAAGUGCCGGAUGUCUAAUAUAUAUCCGGUUUGACGGUACCAUCAAAGGAAGCACCGGCUAACUCCGUGCCAGCAGCCGCGGUAAUACGGAGGGUGCAAGCGUUGUUCGGAAUUACUGGGCGUAAAGCGCGCGUAGGCGGCCAUGUAAGUCAGAUGUGAAAGUCCACGGCUCAACCGUGGAAGUGCAUUUGAAACUGUGUGGCUUGAGUACUGGAGGGGGUAGUGGAAUUCCCGGUGUAGAGGUGAAAUUCGUAGAUAUCGGGAGGAAUACCGGUGGCGAAGGCGACUACCUGGCCAGAUACUGACGCUGAG